ACCUAAAAAGCUAGCCCAACCCCUACAAAAACAGCCCCCUAUAAACCACUCCCUACAAGCUAAUCAACAAAACAUUUUACCUCCCCAGUACGGGCGACAGAAAAGGAAAUCCAGAGCAAUAGAAAAAGUACCGCAAGGGAAAGCUGAAAGAGAAAUGAAACAACGACCCCAAGCCCCAAAAAGCAGAGAUGACCCCUCGUACCUUUUGCAUCAUGACUUAGCAAGUACACCUGAGCAAAGAGAACUUUAGUUCAGCCCCCCGAAACCAGACGAGCUACUUCAAGGCAGCCUAUUAAACCCGUAGGGCACACCCGUCUCUGUAGCAAAAGAGUGGGAAGACCUUUAAGUAGAGGUGAAAAGCCUAUCGAGCCUGGUCAUAGCUGGUUGUCUAAAAAGCGAAUUUAAGUUCAGCCUCCCGACUCCCCCCCAUCAACGACACCCAUGUCCCCACCGAUUAAGGGCGACCAGGAGAGUUAGUCAAAGAGGGUACAGCCCCUUUGAAAAAGGAUACAACCUCCCCGGGUGAACAAAGACCAUACUAUUUAAGGAAAAUCGUCCUAGUGGGCCCAAAAGCAGCCACCUAAAAAGAAAGCGUUAUAGCUCCUAUAAACCCCGCCCCUUAAUACCGAACCCCACUCUUCCCUCCCCGCCCCCUAUUAGACCCUCUCACACACCCUGAGAAAGACCCUGCUAAGAUGAGUAAUAAGAGUACGCCCCUCUCCACCACACAUGCGUAAGUCGGAACGGACUAACCCCCGACAAUUAACGGCCCACCAAUGAGGGCACUGUAGCACCACACAGAUAACUAGAAAACCCAACACACACAGCCGUUAACCCAACACAGGUGUGUCCCCCCGGAAAGACUAAAAGAAAGGGAAGGAACUCGGCAAAUACAAGCCUCGCCUGUUUACCAAAAACAUCGCCUCUUGCAAAACGAACGAAUAAGAGGUCCCGCCUGCCCAGUGACUAUAUGUUAAACGGCCGCGGUAUUUUGACCGUGCAAAGGUAGCGUAAUAAUUUGUCUUUUAAAUGAAGACUAGUAUGAAUGGCGUCACGAGGGCUUAGCUGUCUCCCCUCUAAAGUCAAUGAAAUUGAUCUCCCCGUGCAGAAGCGGGGAUAUGCUCGUAAGACGAGAAGACCCUAUGGAGCUUUAGACUUAUGCAACCCACAUCAAACACCCCCCAAAGGAAACAAACAGGGUGGCCCUUGCUGAAAUGUCUUCGGUUGGGGCGACCACGGGGAAAAACAAAACCCCCACAUGGACAGGGGCCACAUACACCCUAAAACAUAGACCCACAGGUCAAAUCAACAGUACUUCUGACCACCAAUGACCCGGCGCAAGCCGAUUAAUGAACCUAGUUACCCUAGGGAUAACAGCGCAAUCCCCUCCGACAGCCCUUAUCGACGAGGGGGUUUACGACCUCGAUGUUGGAUCAGGACAUCCUAAUGGUGCAGCCGCUAUUAAGGGUUCGUUUGUUCAACGAUUAAUAGUCCUACGCGAUCUGAGUUCAGACCGGAGUAAUCCAGGUCAGUUUCUAUCUACGCAUUGAUCUUUUUUAGUACGAAAGGACCGAAAAGAAGAAGCCUCUCUCAACGACACGCUUCACCCUCCGCUAAUGAAUACAAAUAAAAUAGACAGAGGGCAAAACCCACGAACCCUAAAAAAGGGUU
rnacentral:rRNA from 1 species